rnacentral:lncRNA from 1 species
CAAGACAAACCCGCUAUUAGCUGUAAAUGUGAGGCACAGAGAGACCAAACACAUGCAAGAUGCCAUCCAUGACUCUUUUUCUAUGGCUUGGUUAUGUCACACAGAUCAUAGGCUGGAGGGAAGAUUUUCCCAUUUUCUUUCCCCUACCACUUUUUACACUGGCAACAUGGGUCAAUAUUGCUUUUCUUUGUAAGCCAAUUUACACUUUGAAAUGAAGUGAGCAUUCAGUAGGAAAAGAAGGUGAAAGUAUUCUGCUUUGUAGCAUCUGCCAGGACUAAUUUUUAAAUUUAUUUUGGCUGCUAUAACAAAGCUAUAGACUGGGUGGCUUAUAAACAACAUAAUUUUAUUUCUCACAGUUCUGGAGGCUUGGAAGUCCAAGAUCAAGAGGUGAACAGAUUUGGUGUCUGGUGGGGGCCUGCUUCCUGAUUCAUAGAUGGCACCAUCCAGCUGUGCCCUCACAUGGUGGAAGGAAUGAGGCUGCUCUCUGGAAUCUCUUUUAUAAGGCCGCCUCUUUCAGCCCAGACAAGUGUGAAGAAUGAAAUGAAAUGACAGCCAGAGCGGGAGCUCGAGCAAGGGGAUCACCAGCCCAGAGAUGGGAGAAACCUUUUAAGAAUUCAUGGACAGCCUC